ACGAUGGAUCCGAUUGCCGCUUAUGACAUGUGGUUUACAUAUUAUAAGAGGAAAGUCCGGGCUCCUCAGGGCAUGAUGCCGGGUAACACCCGGGCUUUGAAGAGAUGAAAGUCUUUUCAGAGACAGACAGUGCAACAGAAAGUAUACCGCUUUAUUGCAAAAUCAUGGGAUUUUGCAGUUUAGUAAGGGUGAAAGGGUGGGGUAAGAGCCCACCGCAUACCUGGUAACAGGUAUGGCACGGCAAACCUCAUCAGGAGCAAAGUUGAGCAGCGGAGUGAAGGGCCCCUUCGUUAAUCCGCGGGUUAACUGCGUCGACAGUGUUGGCAACAAUACUGCUAGAUAGAUGGCAAUCCUACGGUUCCGGAUACCGGAGCCGUUAGACAGAACCCGGCUUAUGGAUCCAUCGUUUUU
rnacentral:RNase_P_RNA from 2 species